rnacentral:misc_RNA from 1 species
GACUCGAAAUUAUUGGUUCCCAACAAUUUUACGUUUACCAAGGAUGGUUUUUGUUUUCUACAUUCAAGUCUCUGAAAAAAAUCACUGUCAACAUUCUUCAUAUGAAGGAUUUGGGUUGUAGAUGCAAGUUGGAUUCUAUGGAAAUAGUAUCCUUUACUAAACUCCUCCGAUUGUGAUUCUGCAUUAACUUAUUAGCAGUCUUGAUAUUUUUUUUUUUAUUGCUGAAGAUAAAAAAUACCAGUUCUUGUACGUAGUUUUAAAUGCCCGUAACCAAAGCCUUGACCACUCCAUGUCCAUGGAUGACUAUUGCAACAUUUGGAAGAUAUCACUCAGAAAUUUUGUGGAGUAGCUGCUAUCUGUUAAUCCAACGAACUGACUUCCGAUCAUAGCAUGUUGCUAAUGAUGAGAGGGGGCUGUAUUAUUUA